GGAGCCUGCGGCUUAAUUUGACUCAACACGGGGAAACUCACCAGGUCCAGACACAAUAAGGAUUGACAGAUUGAGAGCUCUUUCUUGAUUUUGUGGGUGGUGGUGCAUGGCCGUUCUUAGUUGGUGGAGUGAUUUGUCUGCUUAAUUGCGAUAACGAACGAGACCUUAACCUACUAAAUAGUGGUGCUAGCAUUUGCUGGUUAUCCACUUCUUAGAGGGACUAUCGGUUUCAAGCCGAUGGAAGUUUGAGGCAAUAACAGGUCUGUGAUGCCCUUAGACGUUCUGGGCCGCACGCGCGCUAC
rnacentral:rRNA from 16 species